UGUCUGUUGGUCUGUCUGUUGGUCUGUUGGUCUGUUUGCGCCAACUUAAACAUUUUGCAAUAACUUUUGCUAUAUUGAAGAUAGUAACUUCAUAUUUGGCAUGCAUGUGUAUCUCAUGAAGCUGCACAUUUUGAGUGGUGAAAGGUCAAGGUCAUCCUUCAAGGUCAGAGGUCAAAUAUAUGUGGCCAAAAUCGCUCAUUUUAUGAAUACUUUUGCAAUAUUGAAGAUAGCAACUUGAUAUUUGGCAUGCAUGUGUAUCUUAUGGAGCUGCACAUUUUGAGUGUUGAAAGGUCAAGGUCAGAGGUCAAAUAUAUGUGGCCCAAAUCGCUUAUUUUAUGAAUACUUUUGCAAUAUUGAAGAUAGCAACUUGAUAUUUGGCAUGCAUGUGUAUCAUAUGGAGCUGCACAUUUUGAGUGGUAAAAGGUCAAGGUCAAGGUCAU